rnacentral:lncRNA from 1 species
AGGUUCUGAACUUAUAUAACAAAAUCUCAUGUCGGAUCCCUAGUAGGAACGUUGGUUUACAUCACGUGCAUUUGACUUAGGUGACUCAACACAGGGGUUGGGUCCGUCUACGAUAGGUGACCCGAAUGAAAAGACCAUCCUGAUGCAUAUUAAGUACUACUUGCGCAUUUAUUUGCUUUGGAUUCGCAUAUUGACCGGCUUGUGAAUAAGGAGAAAAAUUGAGAAAAUAAGUGGUAUUAGGGCUGACUGAGAUUAACCGUUUUUCUUACAAAAUCAAUGCUCAAAUAUCGCUGAAGUGCUGCCGGAUUUUUGAAGAAAAAAAGAGAAAAAAGACAAAAAAAAAAAACAAAAGAAAGAAAAAGGGGUUUUCAACAAUUUUUUGGUUUUGACCAAAUGUUUUGCCCGGGCUACGCUGGUUUGAUUCUCACCAAGUGUGAGAUACGUAGGCAAUCCCCAUCGGGUCCAACCUUCUAUAGCCAAAACGAAGAAAAAUAAAUUUAAAAUUUUUAUUUGUUGUCCUAAAUAAAUUGGGUCACGCUGUUGUUGUCAAGAAUAGCCAAACGUUUCCGAAAGGGAUGCCGGAAGGCUGAUUUUGCACAAAUGGCCACCUAUGGGUCUUUAUUGUAUUUUUUGGCCGGCUAGCAGGCACAGCCUUAAAAACUUCCUCCCGAAGUGCUGAAAGGCCGUAUCCGCAAAGCUAAACUUUUGGUUUAAGAAAAUAAAUUUCAUAAAAAGAAAGGGGUCAAUUUUGUUUUUUGAUGUCAAACAGGAGUAAAGUCAUAAGUCACUAAUUCUCCUUAAUAAAUGUCUAGGAUGAGCACAAUCCAAAAUGAACCUUUUCCAUUUGUAAGUCGAAUCCCUUUGGAGCUACGAUUGUGGUGGAAUGAUCUGGGUAUAG